rnacentral:rRNA from 1 species
UCCGUAGGUGAACCUGCGGAGGGAUCAUUACAGAGUUGCAAAACUCCCAAACCAUUGUGAACGUUACCUUCAAACCGUUGCUUCGGCGGGCGGCCCGGGUCCGCCCGGUGCCCCCUGGCCCCCUCGCGGGGCGCCCGCCGGAGGAAACCCAACUCUUGAUACAUUAUGGCCUCUCUGAGUCUUCUGUACUGAAUAAGUCAAAACUUUCAACAACGGAUCUCUUGGUUCUGGCAUCGAUGAAGAACGCAGCGAAAUGCGAUAAGUAAUGUGAAUUGCAGAAUUCAGUGAAUCAUCGAAUCUUUGAACGCACAUUGCGCCCGCCAGUAUUCUGGCGGGCAUGCCUGUUCGAGCGUCAUUUCAACCAUCAAGCCCCAGGCUUGUGUUGGGGACCUGCGGCUGCCGCAGGCCCUGAAAACCAGUGGCGGGCUCGCUGUCACACCGGGCGUAGUAGAUUUUAUCUCGCUCAGGGCGUGCUGCGGGUUCCGGCCGUUAAAAAGCCUUUUUUACCCAAGGUUGACCUCGGAUCAGGUAGGAAGACCCGCUGAACUUAAGCAUAUCAAUAAGCGGAGGGAAGUCGGACUGGCCAAGGGGCACACCAGGGGGGGGGAUA